rnacentral:rRNA from 1 species
UACGUAGGGGGCAAGCGUUGUCCGGAUUUAUUGGGCGUAAAGAGCGUGUAGGCGGCCAGACAGGUCCGUUGUGAAAACUCGAGGCUCAACCUCGAGAUGUCGAUGGAAACCGUCUGGCUAGAGUCCGGAAGAGGAGUGUGGAAUUCCUGGUGUAGCGGUGAAAUGCGCAGAUAUCAGGAAGAACACCAAUGGCGAAGGCAGCACUCUGGGACGGUACUGACGCUGAGACGCGAAAGCGUGGGGAGCAAACAGG